GUUUCCUUAGUAAAGUGAUUAGUACACUUGAAAUGGACAUAAGAGAUGUGGGUUCAAUUCCCACAGGACACA
rfam:Puccinia sorghi strain RO10H11247 Scaffold_626, whole genome shotgun sequence.